AUAUUGAUGUGGCUUCGCUAUAUAGACGAUCUAUUCUUUGUCUGGCAAGGGACAGAGGAAUCACUAAAACUAUUUGUAGAUCACCUCAAUUCCAGGAUUCCAACCAUAAAAUUCACUUUGGAGUAUGAUAGAAAUCAGAUACACUUUCUAGACGUGACAGUCAGGCUACAAGAUGGGAAGUUCUCCACUGAUAUAUAUAGGAAACCGACUGACAGAAUCACUUAUCUAAAUCCACACAGUUUUCACCCACCCUCUACAAUCAAAGGGCUACCAUAUAGCCAAAUGUUACGAACAAGACGCAUUGUAAGUGAAGAUGACAAAUUUGAAGAGAGAGCAGAAGAAAUGAUGACCCACUUUGAGAGUAGAGGCUAUGGGACAGAUAUGUUGGAAACAGCCAGGGAGAAAGUAAAAGAUGGACCAGAGGUUAAAACCAUGGGUGGCGGAACCUCCAAUGAUGGCCUAUAAAAGAUCAAGCAACCUGAGGGACCAUCUGGUCCAUGCGUUAAUUGAACCACAAAAGAAGCAAGAUCAUAUAAGAAAUGAGUGAUGGAUUAUCCAUUGAAUUUUUGCGUCCUCCUAUUAACCUCA